GAUGAACGCUGGCGGUAUGCUUAACACAUGCAAGUCGAACGGUCUUUUAGGAGACAGUGGCGGACGGGGUGAGUAACGCGUAAGAAUCUACCUUCAGGUUGGGGACAACCACUGGAAACGGUGGCUAAUACCGAAUGUGCCGAGAGGUGAAAGGCUUGCUGCCUGAAGAAGAGCUUGCGUCUGAUUAGCUAGUUGGUAGUGUAAGNGACUACCAAGGCGACGAUCAGUAGCUGGUCUGAGAGGAUGAUCAGCCACACUGGGACUGAGACACGGCCCAGACUCCUACGGGAGGCAGCAGUGGGGAAUUUUCCGGCAAUGGGCGAAAGCCUGACGGAGCAAUACCGCGUGAGUGAUGAAGGCCU
rnacentral:rRNA from 1 species